rnacentral:misc_RNA from 1 species
UACGUAGGGGGCAAGCGUUGUCCGGAAUUAUUGGGCGUAAAGCGCGCGCAGGCGGCUCAUUAAGUCUGGUGUUUAAGCCCGGGGCUCAACCCCGGUUCGCACUGGAAACUGGUAGGCUAGAGUGCAGGAGAGGGAAGCGGAAUUCCACGUGUAGCGGUGAAAUGCGUAGAGAUGUGGAGGAACACCAGUGGCGAAGGCGGCUUCCUGGCCUGUAACUGACGCUGAGGCGCGAAAGCGUGGGGAGCAAACAGG